CGCGGCCUAUCAGCUUGUUGGUGGGGUAGUGGCUUACCAAGGCUUUGACGGGUAGCCGGCCUGAGAGGGUGACCGGCCACAUUGGGACUGAGAUACGGCCCAGACUCCUACGGGAGGCAGCAGUGGGGAAUAUUGCACAAUGGGCGGAAGCCUGAUGCAGCAACGCCGCGUGCGGGAUGACGGCCUUCGGGUUGUAAACCGCUUUCGCCUGUGACGAAGCGUGAGUGACGGUAAUGGGCAAAGAAGCACCGGCUAACUACGUGCCAGCAGCCGCGGUGAUACGUAGGGUGCGAGCGUUGUCCGGAUUUAUUGGGCGUAAAGGGCUCGUAGGUGGUUGAUCGCGUCGGAAGUGUAAUCUUGGGGCUUAACCCUGAGCGUGCUUUCGAUACGGGUUGACUUGAGGAAGGUAGGGGAGAAUGGAAUUCCUGGUGGAGCGGUGGAAUGCGCAGAUAUCAGGAGGAACACCAGUGGCGAAGGCGGUUCUCUGGGCCUUUCCUGACGCUGAGGAGCGAAAGCGUGGGGAGCGAACAGGCUUAGAUACCCUGGUAGUCCACGCUGUAAACGGUGGGUACUAGGUGUGGGGUCCAUUCCACGGGUUCCGUGCCGUAGCUAACGCUUUAAGUACCCCGCC
rnacentral:rRNA from 1 species